UCUUUUAUCUGCUGAGUCAUUUCCCCAGCACUUUAUUUUAGUUUUAUAGAGCUUUCAGAUUGCUUUUGCCUGCUACCAAAAUAAAUAUAUCUACCUGUGAAUGCCAUAUGUAUGCUGCCCUUUAUUUGAACUCACAUUUCCUUUUAGGACUAUGAAAGUUCACCUUCAUACAGAAUCAAAUGAAGACCAUUAAUAAUUUGGUGGAGAUUUCUCCCUGAGAGAGGAAAUCAUCUGGGGCAGCUCCAAUGUGCUAAUCCCAGCCACGAGGAGCCUUUGCCAGGUCCCCAUUGCAUCAUUAGUCUCUGGGGUUUCAGGAAGGCUUCUUUUCAUUUUUCUAAGAAUGAUAGACCGGGGUCUGGUCAUAAACAUCCAGAUACGUGGUUAAGGUUGGAUGCCACAGAGAACUAUAAAGAAAGGAAGUGAUUAGCUAAACUAGAUGUUGUGAGAUCCCCGAGAGGACCAAGAGGAGAGUUGGGGGUGGUUUACAGUAGUUUACAAAAUAGGGCCUCAUUUUCGGUUAGAACUAUGGUAGAUGGAGAGCAAUCUCUAUCUAAACUGUAGGUUGGGGUAAACACUGCAAAAAUCAACAAAAUUGAUUUGAGUGGGAAAUACUGAAAUGAAACAAGAUUUUUCCUUGAGGGGACCAGGAUGAGACUGGAAAGUGUGGUGAAUACAGGGUUAAGCUAGAGCACUCACAGCUAAGGGAUAGGAGGGAUGGGGGCUGCAGCUGGGGACCGCUGUGGCUAUUCCACAGCCCCAUCACUGCAGGGGGUAUGGAGGUACUUGUGCUCAAGGGCAUGCACUAGGGAAACCAGACAUGUCAUGCAUACAGGGUUGUUCCUUCAAGGGAAGGAACACAAACGUUGUUUUCCACUUAGAAGGCUGAAACAGAUGUGCAUUGUGCAUCUAUGUAGGUAAAGACAGUCCAGGAAUCAGACUCACCUCCAAAACCUUACCAUACACUUGUUUGUCUCAGUCAACUGUAAGCAUGUUUAUCUCAGCCAAUUUAUAGAACCUAUCAUUAUGGACCUUACAAAGAGUUUGGAUGGAGUCAUGUUCCUCAAGGAGAUUUAUGUAUGCUUUGUUGUGACCCUGAGAUUGAGUUAAUUAUCACCAGAAUAGUUUCCACAAACUUUUGCUGUGUUUAAAUAUGCUGGCUAAAAACCACUCAGAGUCAGACUCCUGAAGCAUAACCCAAUACCAGCCACUAAGUUGUGCUGAGCUAAACUGUCUUUAUGCUUCCCAUGGCUGAACUCUCUACUCCUAUGAAUGUGGAAGAGAUUAUCCCUACACACGCACACACACACACACACACACACACACACACACACACACACACACACAGACUGGACUGCUCAGGUUCGCUUCCAGUACCCUAAGCCCUGCAAUACAUAUUAUGAAGUUGCCCUUAUCAGUCAUCUUAUGUAAGAGUCUGAUUUUGCAACACAUAUGAUGCUCUUCAAAAAUAGACAUUAGUGGCCCUGCUGUUAAUUAACACCUGCUUUAAUCAGCAUUCUACUCUGUAACCAUUGCCACAAUUAUAGUGCAACGCUUAGACAUUCUUUCUACCUCUUGAAAGAAAAGACAGAGAAGUGCCUUCACCAUGUGUAAUGUCAGCUGCAGGGAAACAGCAUUGGAGAGAAGCAACAUUAGAAGAAUUCAUGAUCGAGUUGUGACAGACUGGGUCUGAAAUAGCAGCAGAGACAUCCAUCUUAAAUAUAGAAGUCUCCGAGGUCAGGUCAGUGUCCUUUCUGCCCUUUCAGAGCCUGGCAGGUCCUAGGGACGGUCGCAGAUCAGUGUUGCCAACAACCAGCACAUCAAUGGCCAAGCAGGAGACCAAGGGCACUUGUGUAAAUUGUCAAGCUUUCCUGAUCAUCUCUAAGCAUUUCUGGUCUUAGCAGGGAACAGCAGUGAGGGACAGUGGAAUGACUGCUGCAUUUACUGCUCAGCACCGCUGUGACCUGGCAGCCACGCUCACAGUCAGCAGAACAACCACAGAACUUCAACUGUCGCACCAACGCCCGUAUUCCAGCUCUCAUGCUGCAGCCAAGUUCUCAGGCUUCCCAGAUCCUGUGGACUGCGCGGUCUUAUGAGCAUCGACAAGCACUUUAAGUAUCUUACACAUUAUGGUCACCUCUCUAACCAGAAUUUCUCUUCCCUGUGGAAGAGAAUUGCCCACUGUUAGUGAACCUGGCUGCCUAUAGGAUGUUUGUUCUGAGGAUGAGAAAGCAUAUAGAGGGGAGAAGUUUGAUGUGGCAGGGCUGGGCAGUUUGGCUGAGCCUAGCGGCAGUGGGCAGGGUUGUGAAGGUAUGGGAGGAGGGACUGCAUUAUCUUGGGGUGGGAGUGGCUACAAAAACAAAACAAAACAAAACCCGGAAACAGUAACAAUCAGGAAAUGACAGAGCAAUGGAAAUAGACAUGGGCAGGCUAGGAAGAUGGUGAGGGACUAGAGAUUACAGGUCUUGGUGCCAACGUGGAUGCCAGAGGUGAAGGGAAAGAAGCUUAGCAGAUCAAGUCUUGGCUACACACUGACCCUUCCCAUCAAGUCUCUGCACUCUGUUGCUAUUGCUUCUGACUCAUCUGCUUUCUUGUUCUCACCCAUUCACACUCCAUGAAGGCAUGACUUCUCCCUGAAAAAAAUCUAGCUUUAGGCUCUAAAUGGUGGUGCAUAUUCAUUGUGUAGGUAGGAGAAUUAUUAUUACAGGGACUACUUUAAAAGAUGUGUUGAGGGUAUAAGGAAACUAGAAAGUUGAAGCAAAGUCAUAUUCAGCUAGGGAGGCUGUUACCUUCCCAGAGGCAGGAGAGAACCAGAGAAGAGGUUAAUAGAAUGCAGGGAAGAGAGUGUAUAGAAGUUGCUCCUUGCCAAUUUUGAUAGGAACUGCAUCCUUCAACAGUAGACAGUGUUCCUCAAAGGUGGAAUCCCAGAAAAUUGCAUCUCAGAUGCACUCUCUUCCCAGAGAUCCACCCCCUAUCACCCCCAGUCCUAUCCCUUUCUUUGGUCCAGGAUCCCUAUUGGUCAAAUCCAACUAAAGGACACAGGUAUAGAAGCCCUUUCAGGCAAUUCCUGUGAAUCAACUCCAGGAACAAGAUAAGAUGCAGGAUACACUAGGGGAAUCAUGUGGAAGGUGUUCUAACAGUGCUGUGGGCCAUUCCUAGUCCCUACCUAGGUUAAGAGCUUCUUCUGUUAAGCCUCCCAACACCCUGUAACUCUCACCAGCCCAGAGACACUCCCUGCCAAAGCUAGGACUCCUACCAAAUGUUAGCACAUACUGGGGACUCAUUUUAAUUUCAUUUGUUUGUUUAAUGUAUGUGAGUACACUUGCUAUCUUCAGACACAGCAGAAGAGAGCACCAGAUCCCAUUAAGGAUGGUUGUGAGCCACCAUGUGGUUCCUGGGAAUUGAACUCAGGACUGCUACUAACUGCUGAACCAUCUCCCUAGCCCCCUUAUUUUUAUUUUGUAACGGGGGAAAUAAAAUCAAUGGAAAGAAGUGGUGGUGUUUUAUCCAAAUGAUUCAAAUAGAUAUUUGGGGAAAUUACACUUAUCAGGUGUGCGCAACAGCACAGAGUCCAUAGCUGACACAUGUCUCUGCUCUGCUUAAAAGAAGGCACAGUCCUUAACAGGUGCACUGAGUGUCACAUUCUAACAGUCUGUCUUGUCUGCUCUGGCCUUUCCUUUUCCCAACACAUCCAAGCUCAUUUCUCCUUCAAUCUGUCCUAUCCUAGGAAGUGGGCAAACCUAUUCUUCCUGCUUUUUUUUUUAAAUUUCCCAUCAUAUACUAUUUCGAUUAUUGUUCAAAGCCUUUUGACAUGCAAGUAACUCCCAUCUCACCUUUAGUGAUACAACAUACAGCUGCUUCUUCACUGUCCAUCCAUGGUUCCUCUCAUCUAUUAUUAAAGACAGGACUCUGUCUUCACAAGGCUGUGGAUUCCUACCACGUCCCAUACCUCAUAAGCACUCAAGGGAAACUUCUGAUCACCAGUCCACUUAGACAUGGCCACCCCAUAGCUGUCAUCAUAGCAACUCCACAGCUUGUUUAAAGCUGUUGAUAAGAUGUGUAGUGAGUUGGGGUCUUCCCCUUAUGACUACCAUGUAGAAGGUUGAUGUUGUGCCUACCCCUGUCAAGUGUGGGAAGCUCCAAACUCCAUGACAAAAUCAUCAGUGUUGCCAAUGUGCUACCUGGUUCUUCUCUGUCUCCAAACACAGUACAAAGGGAGUACCUGUUGACAUGUUACACACAAGUGGACAUUGUCCUUCAGCUGCAGAAAUGUUGUUAGUACAGAACUCACAAUUCUGCCAGCCAUAGAAAUCUUCUCUCUGUGUUGUACAGGGCCAUGGCUGAGAUCUUGGGAAACCUGUUCAGGAAAUAACUAUGGAGUGAAUCUUUAAUUGUCUGUUGUUCUGUUGACAGAGAAAGUGAAUGGUCUCCUAAAAUGACUCCCCAAAGUACAAUAGAUCUGGGGAAAAUCAUCCAUCAUCAUCAUCAUCAUCAUCCAUCAUCAUCAUCCAUCAUCAUCGUCGUCGUCGUCAUCAUCAUCAUCAUCAUCAUCAUCAUCAUCAUCAUCAUCAUCAUCAUCAGCAGCAGCAGCAGCAGCAGCAGCAGCAGCAGCAACAACAGAGGCUUUGCCCUCCUAACACACCUCUGCUACCCUUGACCACUAACCCAUCUGAGACUCUUGGUUUCUGACUGGUUGCCAUAGACUUUUAGCAGCAGAACUCUUUUUAAAGAAUAUCUGCCAUUGAAAACAUUUUUUAGGUUUUUUUUUUAAGAAACUCAUACACAUAUACAGUAAAAUACAAUCAAAUCCACCCUCAUUUACCCUCUCCCAUUUUCCUCAGGUACUGCCAGUAUGGCUUCUAUCAUGAUCAUGCCUUUUUGAUAUUGUUCUUAUGUUGAUAACCCAAUAAGUCCACUUUGGGAUAUUUGUAUGUGUACAGAAAUGGAGCCAUCCAUGGGAAACCUAUCAGUGGUCAUACUCCCUAGAAGAACUUUUCUCCCUCCCUCAGGAGCUAUUCUCAGUAAGGGUUGAGGCCUCAAGAUUUUUUCCUUGAUCUAAGCUUGGAUUCUGGCUGGCUUGAUCUCAUGCAGGUCUUGUGCAGGUACCCACAGCUGCCGGGAGUUCAUGAGAGCAGUAGCCAUGCCAUGUCUAGAAUAUAUUUCAUAACUCUCCUCCACAUCCCCUGCCUCUGACACCGUUUCAGUUCUAUAAUGUUCUCUAAGCCUUGGCCAGGGUUGGGGGUGAGAACAAUGCUUCCCUGUUUAGCCCAUGUAGAACUAAGCACUCAGUUAUUCUCAGCACUUUGACUAAUUAUGAGUCUCUGCAUUGACUUCUGCCCACUUUAAAAAGAAGCUUCUCUGACCACCAUUGAGAGCCCACCCCAGGUCUAUGGGUAUAAACAUCAACAUUUAGAAAUCAAAUUGACAAAGUGAGAGUGUAACAAAAAUAACAAUAGUAGGCUCUACCCUAGGACUGAAGACCUCCCCAGCCAACAGCUGAACAGGUUUACAAAACCGGUCAUGAAAUUCCCUCCUCUAGUGCAGGCCUCAACAAAUUCAACAAGAAAGCAGUUGCUCACUCCUAACAGUCACACCAUAUGCAACAGUGGGCAUACAUUUCCUGGCAAAUCAAAGGAAUCAUGUAUUCCAGUGCUGGGUAAGAUCAUUGAUGGUUUUUCCCCUUAGCAGCCUACAUAGCACUUUCUGGCAUCAUAAAAGCUAGCCAGAGGGGAGGAAGCUUCCCAAUCCACCAGAGAUUGGUUUACACUGUGUUCUGCAGCCAAAGUAUUGGCACGGAAUCUUAAUGUGUAAUUCAGGCAAUAGGCAAGUAGUCAUUUCCUGAAUACUGCCACAGACUCUGGUUCCCAUCUGCAUGUGAGGUUUAAGGGAGUACAAUCUGCACACAGUAAAACUCGUCCAUUAUAAGGUGCAUGGUUCAAUGAGUUUGGACAGCCUUACAAUAAGACCAGAACCAAAAUCCAGAAGGACCCUAAAUUCCUUAUGCAUUUUUGUAAGCAGUCAUCUUUUCACACGCUCAACCUUGUUAUCCUGUCCACUACACGAUGUCUCCCAGAAUGUCUUAUAAAUGGAAUUAUGCAGUAGGAAA